ACUGGUUACUCGACACGGGCGCUACGUCGCACGUCGCUGGACCUAGCAACGGGGAGCAUAAUUCUGAGAUCCAAUAGCCACGGGGAGCUCUACCCAUUCUUCACCAACUCCGGCGUCCAAGAAGCUCUCUCCGUCGUCACCGGUGACCUCUGGCAUCAACGUUUGGGACAUGCUAGCAAUAAAUCCGUUUCUGCUUUAGCUCGUGAUUUACUUCCCUCAUGUAAUAAAGACUUGCCUAGCACCACUGUUUGCUCCUCAUGUAAAUUAGGCAAGCAGCCCCGGCUGCCCUUUUCCCUUUCUGUAUCAAAAACUAGUGCGCCCUUUCAACUAGUUCAUUGUGAUUUGUGGACGUCCCCUGUUCUU
rnacentral:rRNA from 1 species